rnacentral:rRNA from 1 species
GACGAACGCUGGCGGCGUGCCUAAUACAUGCAAGUAGAACGCUGAAGGAGGAGCUUGCUUCUCUGGAUGAGUUGCGAACGGGUGAGUAACGCGUAGGUAACCUGCCUGGUAGCGGGGGAUAACUAUUGGAAACGAUAGCUAAUACCGCAUAAUAGUAGAUGUUGCAUGACAUUUGCUUAAAAGGUGCAAUUGCAUCACUACCAGAUGGACCUGCGUUGUAUUAGCUAGUUGGUGAGGUAACGGCUCACCAAGGCGACGAUACAUAGCCGACCUGAGAGGGUGAUCGGCCACACUGGGACUGAGACACGGCCCAGACUCCUACGGGAGGCAGCAGUAGGGAGUCUUCGGCAAUGGACGGAAGUCUGACCGAGCAACGCCGCGUGAGUGAAGAAGGUUUUCGGAUCGUAAAGCUCUGUUGUAAGAGAAGAACGAGUGUGAGAGUGGAAAGUUCACACUGUGACGGUAUCUUACCAGAAAGGGACGGCUAACUACGUGCCAGCAGCCGCGGUAAUACGUAGGUCCCGAGCGUUGUCCGGAUUUAUUGGGCGUAAAGCGAGCGCAGGCGGUUAGAUAAGUCUGAAGUUAAAGGCUGUGGCUUAACCAUAGUACGCUUUGGAAACUGUUUAACUUGAGUGCAAGAGGGGAGAGUGGAAUUCCAUGU